UACGGAGGGUGCAAGCAUUGAUCGGAAUUACUGGGCGUAAAGGGCGCGUAGGCGGCUCUGUAAGUCGGACGUGAAAUUCCGGGGCUCAACCCCGGAGCUGCGUUUGAAACUACAAGGCUAGAGUGCAGUUAGGGUAAACGGAAUUCCACGUGUAGCGGUGAAAUGCGUAGAUAUGUGGAAGAACACCGGUGGUGAAGACGGUUUACUGGGCUGAUACUGACGCUGAGGCGCGAAAGCAUGGGGAGCAAACAGG
rnacentral:rRNA from 1 species